rnacentral:rRNA from 1 species
CUUAGCGGCGGACGGGUGAGUAACGCGUGGGCAACCUACCUCAGACUGGGGGAUAACACAGGGAAACUUGUGCUAAUACCGCAUAAAGUAAUUAGUCGGCAUCGACUGAUUACCAAAGGAGAAAUCCGGUUUGAGAUGGGCCCGCGUCCGAUUAGCUAGUUGGUGGGGUAAAGGCCUACCAAGGCGACGAUCGGUAGCCGAACUGAGAGGUUGAUCGGCCACAUUGGGACUGAGACACGGCCCAGACUCC